AAUAGAUACCCCGGUAGUCCACGCCGUAAACGAUGGAUACUAGCUGUUCGGUCGCAAGAUUGAGUGGCUAAGCGAAAGUGAUAAGUAUCCCACCUGGGGAGUACGAACGCAAGUUUGAAACUCAAAGGAAUUGACGGGGGCCCGCACAAGCGGUGGAGCAUGUGGUUUAAUUCGAUGAUACGCGAGGAACCUUACCAAGGCUUAAAUGUAUAUUGACAGGACUGGAAACAGUUUUUUCUUCGGACAAUUUACAAGGUGCUGCAUGGUUGUCGUCAGCUCGUGCCGUGAGGUGUCAGGUUAAGUCCUAUAACGAGCGCAACCCCUGUUGUUAGUUGCCAGCGAGUCAAGUCGGGAACUCUAACAAGACUGCCAGUGUAAACUGUGAGGAAGGUGGGGAUGACGUCAAAUCAUCACGGCCCUUACGCCUUGGGCUACACACGUGCUACAAUGGCCGGUACAGAGAGCAGCCACUGCGCGAGCAGGAGCGAAUCUAUAAAACCGGUCACAGUUCGGAUCGGAGUCUGCAACUCGA
rnacentral:rRNA from 1 species